GGGUUGCAUACUUAAUAAGCAAAGAUUUGUUAUUUAUUAAGUUGAUGACCACUAAACUUGCUUUUCAGUCCAAAACUAUAGGGAGUUAAAGGUAAGGUUCUAAACCAUGUUGAGAUCAAAUAUAGGAUGCUCGAACCAAAAGGCGAUAUUGGUAGUUUAUCAUAGUGAUUAUAAUUAUUUCAAUUCUGGUAUCAUCUUUUCUUUUAUGCUUAUUAGAAGAAACAAUUGCUUAUUCUACUCUUUCUAAAAAACGUUACAAAGUGUCCAUUUGAUUAGUUCACUCUUUUGCCAGUGGAUGCUGUAAACACUCUGCUUGAUCUUGCGCCUACAAGUCAGAGGUUAGUGAAACACAUUUCGGUCACUGACUGCAAUUCAACAACGUUUAGGUCCAUUAUAGAAUGCAGCUGCAACAACAGUACGAAUGCGUGCUGGGUGACUACAAUGUAUGUUUUCUCUUACUCGUAUCCAUUUUACUCUUUCAUCUGAGCUUUGACAUUUCAUAACAAAUAUUAUAGGGUUUUCGGAAAAUUUUCUUUUAGCAAGGCAACGCUGUAGUUUUUUUCUUUCUUUUUUUUUUUUCAUUCACAGACAUUUGACAAAAAUAAAAUAAAAGUUACAGGAAAAUUACCACCGCCCACAGUCCCCGCCCUAUCAACCCUGUCCAACCCCGCAAAAAAUCCCUAAAGCUCUCCCCAUGAGAUCUUUCUCCCUUAUUCACGACCAGAUACCUCGAUCUGGUCUUGACUAGAUCGAGGAGGGUAGGGGAGGGCCAGGGGGUGGGGGGAAAGGGAGGGGAGGAGGAAGAGGGAAGGGGAAGAGGGGAGAAAGAAGAGGGAGGGAGCGGUGGUGGUUGUGGAUGGCAGUAUUAAUUUUUUAAAAAUAUUCUAAAAAUAUUUUAAUUUUAAAAUGUACAUCAAAAUAUAUUCCAAAAACCCCUCCAAAAACAUCAUAUAAAACAUGUAUAGUAAAAGUUUUUCAUAUACACUGCUAUAGUAAAAUAUUUCAAAAAUAUCCCAAAAAUAGUUAAUCCAAACGGAAUUGUGCUUCCCAACAUGAGUACCUUUUCUAUAAUAUUGCUGAGGCUAGUUACGUAACUAAAGAUUUGGUUAAAAAUAUAUUUUUUCCUUCAAAGAAAAUUUCUGUAAUUUUCUUGAGGAAUGAAAUUUGGGUUGGAAGGAAACUAUUAGAGAAGAGUGUUAAAGUUUAUUUUUGUAUCUAAGAUAGCGACUUUUAAAAAAAGUCCUCUUCUCUUAGUGGUUAUAAAUAUGAUAGGCUUAAAUAAAUUCAAAGAUGCUAAGGUGCCAUUGACGAGCACGGAGUAUACAUAUAACAAUUAACUCAUUCACAGUCAAGUUUUACCGUUAUAACAUCCUAAACUAAAGGAAGAUUGUCAAUUACUGGCACUACUAAGCACCUCUAUUAUUUAGACGACCAACAAAUUAAAGAAAAUAAAAAUAUGCUAAACUUGUGCAAGAAAAUAGAAAAUGAAAGCUUCUUAGAUUAUGGUAUCCCUAACUACUCAUGCAAGUGCUAUUUUUGGAUCAUUGAGUACUACUAUCUUGGUUAGUUAUGGUGUAAUUUUCUAAUAUAUGUGAAACCUACUCUAAUAAUGAAUCAACUAUACUUGUAACUAAGACAUACCUACUCUCGUGGUUAUAAAAUUAGCUACAAGUUUAUUUUAUGUAAUCACUAAAACUACAAAGGUGCAUCUCUACUCUCGUGAGUAUACUCCCUAGGUUUAGCACUUCUUAAACUAGUGUUAAAUCUCAAUUUUCAUUGAAGAAACAGUACCUUUAGAUAAUCACAACUAAUGGUACCAAGUUAAUCAUGAUUUAAGGAGCAAAAGGGCUAAAUAACUUGCUCAAAAUAAAGGCAUCAAAUAGCCAAAAAAUAAGCACUAAACAAUCAUAGAAAGUUUAAUCAAAACCCAAGGCAUAAACUUUAGAGAGACAUAAUAAACAUAAAAUCCAAACUUGUAUAAUAACUAAACAAUAGAAUCAAAUACAAAAGAUAAAGAGUUUGGAAAGAAAUGUAACCCUUGUCACAUGAGUUCAUCUCCUUCGUUUUCGUCUCCUUCUUCAUCUUUGCCUCGCUAAUAAACAAGAAGGAUAAACUAACUAGUUAAAUUAUCCUAUAUUAUACUAAGCUAACAUUCAAAAAUGUAAGAACUACAUUUUAGUUGUAUUUCUUACCCUCUCCAAGCUCUUUUGAUUCUUGCAACUCCAUGGCUAUUUAUAGAUGAAUUUAGUCAAAAAAUGAGCCUUCAAACAUCACUUUUACAGUUGUAAAAUAGUUGUCACACGUCCAUUUAUACCUAUGACUUAUUGGAGGAAAAAACAAGUUGUGCAAGUGAAGAGCCAUAAUUUCUGACCAGAAUCUGGCCAAAUAUCCGUUCAGAAACUAGCCGGAUUGUCUGGCCAAAUUUCUCCCCUGCUUUGCUUCUCAAUUUAUGUUCAGUCUUCAAUGUUGUUCUAAUUUUGCAUCAAUUUCAACUGAACCUUUCUCGAUGAUAGAAGCUGAAUUAACUUUUGACCAAAACAUAACACUUGUAUCCUUUUGAGUUAGCUUUCCAAUGCAUCAAAAAUUACCUCAUUUGAAUUUGUGUAGGCUACAAAAUGACUGAAAUACCCUUAACUGCUCAAUGCCAUGUUGCAGCUUUAACCAUAGAAGUUGGCUAUUGUAAUUCGGUUUUUCAAUCUGGAAAACCUUUAAACUGGAUUUAGAUAUCUUCAUAGAAAUUGUAGAUCUAUCUCUUAUCUUUUAAAAUGGUUCAAGAAUCAUCUCAAUUUGAUCAUUGUAUCUCAAGUUAUAGCCAAAAUACAAAAAUAUGUCAAAGCUGUCAACUUUCCUUUUUCAUCCAAAUAAAGUCUAUUUCCAACUCCUAUAAAAAUUAUGAAUAAAAUACAAGUAAAAAGGGACAUAAACCUUAUUUAAACACUUAAGAGCAUUUUAAACUAAUUAUAGCCAAAAUAAUCAAUUUCCUUCUUAUAGCAAUGCAAAAGUGACUGAAAAUAACAUAAAAUGUCAUUUUCGUGUAGCUCAAAAUAGUCACUUAUCAGCCAUCAAGAAAGAGGUUUGGAGAAGCCCUAGGGCCUAAUUUGAAAACGGCUUUAGGUUAAGCACCAAAUUAUGAGAAUUAGUUUUAGUACGCUAUUUUGAAUCUUUGGGUCGUUGAGCCUUUUCUAAUAUUUUGGCUUCUCUUGUGAUUUUAAGUAUAAGUAAAUCUUAUAUACAUUGACAGUGUAUACACUAUUACCAUUCGAUCCAUUACAUAUGUGUAAAAAAUUCAAGUUUUGCAUAGUUACUAUUAAUCUAAUCUAACAGUAUAUAUAUUAUCAGUAUAGGAAAGAUUGAUCGUUUAAGUAUUUGUGCUUUUGGACUUAUGAACACUUUCUCCUGAAUUAAUUGAUUGUUACUAUCUCGACUAGUUAUGGCUUAAUUUCUUAAUGGGAAAAGUUACCCCUGUUUAUAUCUAUAUAAAAUGGGAAAAGUUAGUCAUUGUUAUACCCAUGAGUGCAAGAUUAAAAAUUAUAACUUGUAUCAUUAGUGUUGAUACCCUAUAUUAGAACUUGUACAAGAUAUGGAAUUAAGAUAGAAAAGUGUUAAUAUUACCUCUCGCAAACUUCUUUUUGACUUGUCAAUCUUCAUAAAGUAAUUUAUUGACAAUUAUUUCAUAAAGUAACAUGUAACGUACUCCCACACUAGUUCGACCAAAGAAAGACAUAAUCACGAUAACAACACAUGAUAAGGUUGCAAGAUAGUAUCCUUCUUAUUAGUUGUAGUUAUUUCAUUUUGAUCUUUGUAAUCAGUGAGAUUCUAAUAAAUAAUGUAUCAACUACUGAUUUGCAGUGAUCUCCAUAAUUUCAAGUUAAGCGGUCGAAUACCUGAGAAUAUUGGAAAUCUUGCUUAUUUGGAAUCACUGUAAGCAAGUCUAAAUCACUUUCAAUCUAGCAUUAUUUGUUGGUUAAUUUAUGAUUGAUUCAGUUUUUCUUCACCUACUACAUGGCAUGCAAUUGAUAAUUGCUAUGGCUAAUUUACAUAGAAUUGUUAUACUCCUCCAUGAACCUAUACUAAGUAGUAGACAUUUAUUUGUUAGUAUCAAUAUUGUGAACCUCUUGUAAGUCGCAACUCUGGAUUUUUAUGAAUUCUUGUUGGUUUUCUUCUUCUUUUUUGCAGAACUAGUAUGAGAUAUUUAGUCAUAGAGGAACUCGCAUAACAAAGAAAUUUUUUUUUUUUUUGAUAAUAGCAUAACAAAGAAAUUAACUAUCGACAGCUGACCACUAAGUUUGUGCUGACUCAUGCAUUCGCGUACUAUUUAGUGCUAACUAGCUCUAGGCCCAGCGCAUUGCACGGGAUCACAAUUUUUAAAUCAAUCUAAAACUUAGAUUAUGUUAUUAGAGAUUACAUUAGUAGAAAAUCUUUUGGAAUCCUUACAAUGAAAUGUCAUUUAAGGAGGCGCAGUUUGAGAUCUUAGUAUGAAUGUAUAACUAUUAAUUUUUGCCUUAUGGUUCUAAUCUUCUUGAAGCACAAGAUGUAGAUUCGACUACAGGUCAAGGUUUCAAACAUCUGCACCUACAGUAACCCACCCCAUUGGUUCAGUUGAGCCCUCCUUUUGAUUGAUUAGGAUAGAUGUAUGAAUAGUGUAAGAGUUGAUGAUUAAGAGAAUAAAAGUUUUAAUCUUCUAAAUAUUUCUUUUCGAACUAAUUAAUCUUUAAAAUGUAUUGCACUACAAUGAAGAUGAAGGUCUUAAAUUGAAAAUCACAAAACUACAAAUUUUGCAACUAACUUAAAUCAAUGUUUGAUCAAAUUGAAAAUGUUUAACAUUCGAUCAAUUAUUUGUAUCUAAGAAGCAAAUUAAAUUGCACAAAUUUUUUAUAAGUUAGUUUAACUAAUCUAUUUUCUCUACCUAAAAUGUGGGAGUUUAGACAUUUGAAUGAAACUAAGAAGUAACCAAUUAGACAACAUCAUCAAACCUAUUUUGGCAUAAAAGCAAUUAAAAAAAUGAGAAAAUAACAUAUGAAUUGCUCAUUGGAAGGCUAAUAGAGGAAAUAGAUUGGAGAAUAAUAUAGUAGUUGAGUAAAAACACGUAAUGUGCUUUCUACUGGAAGGCUUAAAGAAGAAAUGAAUUGGAGAACUUCUAUUAGCUAACAAAACGAAUACGUGUAUUAACAAAAAGCACGUUUUUCUACCAGUUUUACCAAAAAAACUUCGAAAUGAGCAGAAAAAUGGAAGGGGGCACACUACUGCAUGUUGCAUUCUUGAAACUAUAUUUUUGAUGUCACCUAGCUAAAUUUAUGUUUCACCUUUGCACUGAUGUGAGGGAUGGUUUGAAUUUUGACUUAAAAUCUUGUCGUGCAGUCUGUGUUUUGGUAGCUUGUGAGUUAUAUUUCCAUCUCUUGGCCAGUUGGCCUUCUUGAAAGGAAUACUUAGAAAUCACACAAAUAUUGGAAGACUGUUCUUAGUAUUCAAAUGGUAUCUAAUUUUCGUUGACACGUUUAUGUUGCAGUAACUAUUGUGUUUGCCUUUUAUCCUACAAAGAUUGUAAUUUUUUUUAAAAAGAAAAGUAAAUAUUGUGAAUGGAUGGUAUCUUUUCUAAAUCUUUUUGCCAUUUUAACUGUCAUUCUCUUGAUGCAUUACUUUGUAUACUCAAGCAAAGUUUUUCCUUUUUUUUGGGUUCUCUUUCAUGUAGGAAUCUUUAAAAUUGCUCCAAAAAUUUUUUCCGUGCUUCUUUAAGUUGUGCAGAUGCAUAUUUACUUUAGAUUUGGAGGUUAAUAUGUAUAUCUUGAUUUGAUUUUUCAGAGACCUUUCCGGAAACUAUCUUAACGGGCAAAUUCCUGAAUCUUUUCGAAAUUUGUCGAGGAUAUCUGAAAUGUGAGUAGGAGUUAUCUGACUCAUGUGAUAUUUCAAUUUUAGAGAUGAGUUUGCAGGUCUAAUUUUGAUGUUUCAGAGACCUCUCCUCCAACCAUCUCAGUGGAACAAUUCCUAAUUGCUUUCAAAAUCUGUCGCAGAUAACUGAAAUGUAAGCAACUCAUUAGAACUUACUGAAUUUUCUUACUUCUUUUUCUCUUUCAACAGUUGCUACUUUGUUAACUGCUCACGAAAUACAAUUCUGUUGUCUUGUUUUGUUAUGAAUGACAGUAUUCUCUACGACAAUUACUUGGGAGGAGCUGUACCAAUUUUCUUUUCUGAGAUGAAGAACUUGACAUUCUUGUAAGUCAGCAUAGCAGUAUUUCGUGUCUAUUUCCAUAACCGGGUUAUUAGAAUUUUACUGCUCUUCAUAAAACGAAAGAAAUUUCUGAAUCAGGAUAAAGAAAAUCAGAUUUAUCCACAACCUAUGAGUUUCUUUCUUAGGUGGUUCUUCCAUUUUAUAUUUGCUCAUAAACAAAAAUAUAUUAUGUAGUCAAAGACAAAACUAAAUUAUUUCAUUUAGUUUCAAGCAAGAGCAUCAUUUUUUAUUAUUUUAUUUUUGUCCAAAAAAAUCCAACAAUUGUCAUAUGGUGAUAACCUUUUUUUUUUCAGCAAAACAAUAGCCAUUUUAUUGAUGUAUUAGUAAGCCUUACAAGGGAGCAUCACCUCCAAUUACAUCAGAAAGCGUCACUAGUGAGAAUUCACUAUACUACUCGAUACAAAUAUAAAUUUACUGAGAACUGCACAGACAGAGCUACUCCUACAACUAACUUUGUAAACAUUCUAAGGACAGACCCCAUUCUAGGCUGGUUGCCAAUUUUCAUGAACUCUAGGAGCUCAAGGCCAUGACACCACAGUCAAUUGAACCACUCGGAUGAUAGCUGCAAUCACUCUUGCAGUGAUACGGCUGAGUGUCGAAAUAACUUCCUAUUUCUUUCAUGCCACAAAUGCCAAACUGUUAGAGCCAAUGCUAAUCUUCUAAGUUUUACAGCAAACAAAUCAGAUCCAGCCUGUUGAAACCACCAAUCAAUCUCCUGUCUCCAAGGCAAAGAACUUCAAUAUAACAGACAUAGGCUCUGUACCUUGUCCCAAACACCACUAGAGAAAUUGCGUUCAAAGAAAAUGUGUUCUGAGGAUUCAUUUUGUUGAUCACAAUGUAUACAUUCUGGAGACACCUUAGAUAUAGCCCAUUUAAUAAGUCGAUCCUUAGUCAGCAGCUCUGUUGUAUUAUCAUCCAUAAAGAUAAAAGCAAACUUAGUUUAGGUACAAAACCUUUUUCCAUACCGAUGAGUACCCUGCUACUUCUUCCCUUGCUGAUAUAGUGUUAGCUUUAACAGAAAACUCUACUGAUGCAGAAUCAUUCCAUCUCUCAUUAUCUUCCCCAUGCAUCUGCUGCAGUAAGAAGACUGGAUUUGCACUUUUAGAAUUCUGCACCCGAGAGUUAAAUCUCCUCCCCUUUGGCGAAAGCCAGUACCAUUCUCACAAAAUCCUUGACCCUGGCCAUAGUAGAUAGUCUCAAAUCUUUAAUGAGUGUAAAUAUAAAGAAGGGGAUGCCAGUUAUCAAACCAAAAGGAUGAAUGAUCACCAUUACCAAUACCAAUACUAAUCAGAGAUUGAGCUAUAGAUCUAAGCUGCAACAGUUUCCUCCAACACCAUGAGCAAUCUCCAGAAUCUUUAUCUCCACAAGAUACAACCUUUCAGAAUGACAGAGUGAAUCUACUGUACCCAGAGAAAUUCUUUCUUUUUGCAAAUAUUCCAAAUUAACUUCAAAAUGAAACGCUUAUUCCAGUGAGUAAUGUUUUGUAUCCCCAGUCCACCUUGCUUGUUUGGUAUACAUGCAUCUGACAUUUCACCUUGGCAGCAUAAUCAGUUUUAACUUCUCCAGUCCAAAGAAAGGAGGCUUAUAGACCAUCAAAUUUCUUAAUCAUGGUUUUCGGGAAAAUGAAAACACUCAUCCAGUAUAGAUAAAUGCCACUCAGAACAGACUGAAUAAGCUGGAUCCCACCCUCAUAAGAAAGCUUAAUUGCUGCCGAAUUGUGGAUUUUCUGUUUAAUAAACAUUGGUUGACAAUCCUUGUAGCUGAGUUUAGUAGAGUUAGUGGAAAGCCCAAGUAUUUGACUAGUAAAUCAGCUCUGAGCAUUCCAAGUAAAUCACAGAAUUUAGAAGGAUCAAUUGGACUCUAUAUAUAUAUACACACACACACACACAUAAAUAAAGACUUAAAUAAAGGACUCAAAUAUAAAAGGACUCAAAUAAAGACUUAACUUAGUGGUAAAACUUAUUGGUAAAGUCGUCCAAGGUUUAAAUCUCGUCAAAAUCAUAUGUAUACAAAAUACAAAGACUCGUAUCCUUGAGAAAAAAACUAAGUUCCCGAUUGAACCAAUGGGUCAGAUGAAUUUGAUUGGAUCAAUGCUUUAUUCAGUUAAAUUAAGGACCUGGCCUGACUGCAGUUUACCACGUCUGAGUAUUUCAACCGCCGGGCCAAACCAAAUUUGAUUUUUUUUUCCAGAAACGUUAGAUAAUUUCAUUGAUAUGUUGUAAACUAUAUAAUUGUUGAGCAAAAGUCCAAAUUGACUUUACAAGUGCAUCUUGGCACUAAGAGUGUAGCCAUUCUUCAUCAAAAGAAAUGCUUAAUGCAUGCAUAAUGACUAAAUCAACCCUUUCCUCCGUUAAGUUAGUGAACAAAAUGAAUAUGAAUGAGCAUUCCGUAAAUAUUGAGCACAAAUUUCUCAUGUUCUCCAAGUGAGAGUAUAUUGCCAUGUCUUCGGAAUUACUGGUUUGGAUCAUUUUCAGCAACUGUUUCGGUUUAAUCUUGAUCUGAAUCUUCUUCCAUUCCUUAUCUCUUGCCUUACAUAAUGCUAAUUUAACAGCCACUGCUUGGUGCCUGAGUUUGUUACCAUCAGUAGCUUCUUUGAGUGCCCCCUGAGCAAUAAUUUGUUUGUUAUCAUCCUCUACUACUAUUCCAAUCCCCAUGUCCCAGCCUCCCAUCCUCCACUGUACUGCAAUCGUUAGAUGAAUGGUGUUGGCACCCUCCUUCCUCUGUACCUGUAGUUCAAUUGCUUUUGGUGUUUCCAGCAUGUUCAUUCUUUUCUCUUGAUCCUUAGUUUCUUUGUAUUCCAUCCAUUCAUUCUAUGCCUUCUAUACGAUGUUGCUGUACAUUGUUGAAAAUUCUGUCGUUUCUUGCUUUCCAAAUCUGCCACAGGAUAUUAGCUGUUAAGGCUAUGUGUUCCAUACUGUCCCUUCUACACCUGGCUUCUGUUAGUGAGCUCUACCACUUCUUAAAGUCUCCUCUCUGGUCUUCAUUUCCAUCCCAAUGUAAUGGAGCUAGAUGCCAUGUUUCUCCUCUCUAGCCAAACCAUAUUUGAUAACUAUGCUCAAAAUUGUAGUAUUCCAGUCAAAAAGAACUUUUGAAAGAGGACUCAUUAGAAAGGUAAAUUCUUUGAUAUUUCUUUUCAAACCGCUUAUGGACUUUUCCCUCAAGCUAAGUAUAACAAUUAUUGUUAGGAAUUUGGUUUAAUUUCUUUUAAGCAGGUUUUUUGUUUUGUAUGGAAAUAAAAAAUUUCUUAAUUGGUUUUAGUUAUUUGAAGUAAUAGCCAAGGAAUUUCUUAUUUUGUUUAGGAUUAUAAGUUAUUUCUAAUUCUGUACAACUCUAGAAAUUAGAAUUGAUUUCUUAUUAUUAUUGGGACCUUUGACCGGAUAAUAUUCCCUAUAAAUAAAUGAGUUAGCAUACUACACAAGGGACACUCAGAGACAUAUAAGAGGUGACAUGUAGCCUUAUACAUGGAUGAUAAGAGAGGGUUCUUAGGAAAUGAGACAUGGUAUACAAGGGUUGGAUUUGGGUUCAAGUUGUAUUCUUGUAUAGGAUUUUGUUCUCAUAAUAAAAAACAAGUUUCUCUCUGUGGAUGUAGACUCAAUGGCGAAACCGAAUCAUGUUAAAUAUUGAGUGUUAUUUAUCUUUCAUGCCUGUAGCUUGUUUAUCAUUAAAUUAUUGUAUAUUUGAUAUCUCAAUAGUUGUGUGUUUCACGUUGAAUCCUAACAAUUAUGAUACAAAAUACUCGAGAAAAAUAACAGUAACAAGUUCUUGGAUAUAAAACUCACAUUGUGUCAAUGUUUUCAAAACCGGUAAUGCCACGAAUUUUUUCUUAUAAAAGUCAUAGACACAAAAAAAAAUGAGGAAAUAUUUUUUUUCCAUUUUUCAAUCAAUUACAAUGAUAUAAUUGUUAUACAUAUAGCUAGGGUUACAACGAGCUAAGAUACAUUAAUCUAGACAAAAUUGAAAUAGUCAUUAAUCUAAUUUAAGCCCCAGUUCAUAUCUAAUUUGAAAUUCAAAGAUAUUUACAUACAUAUCUUUAACUCACUCUAACAUUUCUCCUCAUGUUGUUGCAUAUAUGUCAUAUGCUCAACUUGUUAAGUGAAUUUUAGAUGUUCAUAAUUGAUACAUCCAUAGCAAGUAUAGUGGCAAACUAAUAUUCAAUUUUCACAAAUGAAAUCCGUAUCACUUUAUCUUCAAAGUUUUGUUUAAUAAAGUGUUGAUCAACUUCGAUGUAUUUGGCCCGAUCACAUUGAACUAAAUCCAUUCCCUAUCAAAAGAUCAAGCACAUACUUUGGUUAAGAUAAAAAGAUGCCUUGCCUUGAUCUUUUCACCUCAAUGCCUAACACAUAUUUUAAGUUCCCCAAACUUUUUAACUUGAAUUCAACUGAUAAUUAGUUCUGGAGUUCAAAAUUCCCUUAUGCAUCAUUGCCUAUGGUAUUCAUGUCAACGAACAGAUUAUUAGAAUCAUCAGUUUCCCAACCCAUGCUUCAAGAUUAAGGUAGUUAUCUAUGUUGCUUUAUUGAAAGCCAUAUCUCUUUAUGGCCAAACUAAAUCAGCCAAACCAAGCACAUGACGAUUGUUUUUGUCCAUACAAAGUUCUUUGUAACUUGCACACUACAUUUGCUUAUGGGGAAGUGGUAUAUCUUGGUGGAAUAUACACCUUCUCUUUAAGACUCUAUGUAGGAAAGUAUUCUUCGCAUCAAACUGAUGCUACAACCAAUUUGAAUUGACUGCAUGAGAAAACAAGAUUCUGACAAUAUUAAAUUUUAUCACUAGUUAGAGAGUCUUCUCAUAGUUAAUGACAUAAGUUUUUGUAUAUCCCUCAGCUACAAGCUGAGCCUUAUAUCGAUUGAUUGAUUCAUCAGCAAUGUAGUGCACUGAGAAAACCCAUUUGCAUCCUGUAGUUUUCUUUUCCUCCAGUAGUGAGAUUCGAGUCCAUGUUUUAUUCUUCUACAAUGCUGACAUCUCAUUGUCUAUAGCCUGAACCUGUUUUCGAUUUACAAAUGUAUCUUGCACUCUAUUUGGAAAUUCUAUUGAGGAUACAUUACGCACAAAUGCCUCCACUAGUUCAGACAAUCUAUGAAUCGCUGCAAAUUUGGUAAUAGAAUUCCAAUUUGGUGACUUGUUACUUAUGUCUAUUAGGUAAUUACAUAUUUAACUCGUGUAUCCAAAUCAGUAGUAGAUGAAGGUAUAGUGGAAAUACUUAUUUUAGGCGUAUUCUCAUAAGAAGAAAGGCCAGACACUAAGGAAUAAGGACUUAUAUUAGCUGCAUCAUUUUCUAUACCAACCACUAUAUCAGCAUCUUGAGAGGACAUAUUAACAGUACCUUCAUGAAGACCAUCAAAAGCAUCAUUAGAGCUGGCAAUUAUAUCCAAAACCCAACAAUCCACCCAACCCACCCACUAAUUUGAGAGGUUGGAUUGGGUAAGUUGGGUUUUGGGUUAAUUUUAGGUUGGGUAAUAAAAAUCCAUAUAUAUUUUGGGCGGUUUGAAUAUUUAUGUUGGCCACCCAUUGCCCAACUUAAAUUAAAAAAAACAAAUAAACAAGUUAAUUUAGAGCGGUAUCCGACCUGCCCCGUUGAGGGUAAUUUAGAGCGGUUCAGAGGAUGAGCCCAUUGAAACAUGAUGUGACAUAGGCUUUUUUUAUUUUAUUAUUUUUUUUACUAUGUGACGUAGCUUCAAUUGCUUGGUUCUGAGCAAUAUGUUGAGCUUCUUUAUUUAUUUGUUUCUACGUUAUUGUUUUCCAUUUUGGCCAAAAGCUUGUUUAACUUUCCAAUAUGCUCUGCCAAUGACAAAUAUUUAAGAUGAUGAAUCCACUUAAAAUACAAUGCUCUGUUUCGAUUGCUGAGGUUGUUCGAGUCCUGCCAUGGAUGAAUAGGAGCUUUGAUUAUCUUAAUUAGCAGGAUUUCAUUAGCCAAACAUUGAUUUUUGUGGUUAGUAAUUACAAUUCCUCAACUGGAAUCAUAUAAUUAAAAACUAGCAUUACCCGACUUGCCUCACACAUAUAUAUAUUUUUUAUUUUUUUUAUUUUUAUACACAUACUAUAAAAUAAUAAUUUAGAGCUAAAGAAGUAAUUUCGUUGAACAAAUUACAUUAAAAAUAUGAGAGACUAUAGUUUAUUUACAAGAUUCAUUUAUGGGUCAAAAUUUCAGUUUAUAACUUUUUUAAAAUGUGAUUGGGUCCAAGUAGAUUAAACAGUUAGUAUGUGUGUGUAUUUGUGAAAGUAUAUUAGUGUGUAUUUUAGUGUGUUUGUAUGUGUAAAAAUAAUGUAUUUCAAAAGAACUUAAAAAGUGAGUGUGCGCUUGCAUCUGUAAGUGUUUUAGUGUGUGAAAAUAUAUUUAUGUGUGUGAUUUUUUUUUUUUUUUUUGUAUAUGAAAAUAUAUUUGAGAGAGUUUAUGUAUCAAAAUCUAUUAUUUAAUAUAUUGGAUCAUGGGUUUGAAAUAAUCCAAUAUGACCCAAUCCAACAUUAAUCCAAUCUAAAGUUGGGCGGGUUGGGUGUAACCCAUUUAAAUGAAAACCCAACAUUAACCCGCCCAAAACCCGCCCAACCCGCCCAAUUGCCAGGCAUAAGCAUCAUAAAACCUAGAAGCCUUGCCACCAUUAGUCACGAGUAAAUUGGUCAUGUCAUCAUUGGGCAUUACCAAAUCACGAUACUUGGCCAUGCCAAUCUCAGCCAAUUUUGCUCUUCAAUUAUCCUGUAUCUCCUGAACUGAAGAAUUGGAUAGUAAUGAUAAUAAAAUCUCUGCUUUUAGAAAAAUACUCCCUCUAUGCUAGGAAGUUUGUUACUUUUUGGGAAGUGAACUAUUUAAGAAUAUUAGCCAAAUAGAAGAAGUAGGCUUUCAAACUUCAUAUAUUAGCCAACAUAUUCAUAACGGUAGCUUGGAGGGCAAAAUGAGAAGAUGGACAAAAAAUCAUUUGUUAUUUUUGGUAAGUCACACAAAUUUUGGAACAAACUAAAAAGGAAUCGAUGACAGUAUUAAUAGGACGGAGAAAGUACCAUAUCUUAGUAAUAGGAUCAUCGCACAAAUAACCCUUCUUAUGCACAGCAUAUCUUAAGAAGACAUAUCAAACUGUACAAGAAUCCAAUUUAGUGCCUUGAUUCUUGUGUAGAUGAACAAAAGCCACAUAAUUGAACAUUUGUUGUGGAAUUAGUAAGAUCGGUAAGGCAAAAUGAUUAGAAGGACUUGCAAUGGAGUCUGAAUGUCUACGACUUUUUAAUGGAUCCUAUUUAGCAAAUGUAUCAUUAUGGUGAUUGUAUCCAUCUAAUAUUGGCACAAAACAUUUACCCCAAUCAGUUGAGCAUGUGCUAUUUCUGGUACAUGAAGAUUUUUAUCAACAACCCCAUUCUACUGUAGAUUUUGAGUACAAGAAAUUUCAUGAAUAAGGCUAUUAGACUUGAAGCAAUCUUAAAAUGGUCAGUAAUCAUACUUACCACCAUUAUCAAAGCAUAAAAGCUUGAUUGUAGCUAAAAAUUAUGUUUGAAUUAUUAGUUGAAAUGAUUUGAAAACAUCAAAUACUUCAUUUUUAUGCUUCAACAAAUACAACUAAAUCAUUCUAGCACAAUUAUUCACAAAAGGUAACAAACCAAGGAAUACCAGUGAAUGAAAAAUUAGUGAGGGCCCCCAUACAUUACUAUGUCAUAAAGCAAUUGGAGCAAAAUUUUUAUUUAAAUUUAUUGGAUAAGGACCCAUAUAACUCUUGGUUAGUGUCACACUUCAAAAGUACAACAUGUGGAGAAGACUAUAAAUCAAUCAAAAAGUUGUCUUGUACAACCAAAUGAUCGGUAUCUUAGCCAUGGAUACUAUAACUAGAUAUCUCGCUCUUCAGAAUUUUUUGUGUUCACAUCUGAUUUGCUCUUCAUAGACUAAAAUUAUCCAACAUAACAUAAAUACUCGCUCUUAGUGGCCAAUGAUUCUUGAUUUGAUAUGAAUAUCCUGAAGAAGAAAGAAAACUGUAUAUAAUAGUGCUACACAAUUAAGACUAACCAUGAUUGAGCUACAUAUAGCGACUUAUUUGAGGAAAAUAAAACUGAAAAGGUAUCAGGAAAAGAAAGAAUUACAAUAGAACAACAUUUCCAACCCUUCUAAUUGGAUAUGUGACACCAUUGGAGAGAUCAUCGACUAUCUCAACUAAAUGACAUAGGAAAAAUCAUUGGAAUUACAGGUCAUGUGAUUAGUAGUCUCUAAAUCGAUAAUCGAUUUGCUAUCAUGGUGAUUAGAGCUACGAUUAUCUUUAAUUAUUAAUUACAAAUUGUUGGGGUUGUAUUAGCAAAAUUGGAAGAAGGCACUAAGCAAUGUGGCCAGCCAUGAGAGAUGCCACCGGAUUGAUAGUUGCUAUGUCCACUCUACUAAAGUUUCUAGUUUGGUUAGCAGCAUUCAACCAAUCAGCUUGUCAAGUCCAUCUUUUAUGCACCUUCUACCAAUCUGGAUAUUCAUGCAACUUGAACCAAGUAUCAUAUGUAUAUUUUUUCUCUCCUGUAAUGAGCACAACCAUUUCCAUCGAUUUGCACCUUAGUUUGAGAUGACAUAACCGGUCGCUUAUUAGUCCCUUUGAAAGCUAUGACACUGCUGAUUGUGUUGUCUUCCCUUGUUAACAUCAUCGAUUCUUUAGUAUUUUCACGUCGAACAUAGGCAUAUGUUUUGUUCUAUUUAUUUAUUUUUAACUCAAAGACAAAAUGUUGUUGCCAAGCUUUCCCAUUGCUGUGUAGUGUUAAUGCUUCACUCACAUUCUACAAAGGGAAAAACAAUGGCCAUAUGGUGGUGUGCAACUGUAUUGCAAGUACAGCGUAGAGUCCUUUUUCUACAUCUUAUGUGCUAAUUGUUUUUAUUUAUCAAUUUGGAGCUGCAGAGAUUUAAGGGAUAAUUUUUUCAAUGGGUCAAUUCCACGUGAAUUUGGUACCUCUCCAGCCCUUGAGCUUCUGUGAGUAUCUUGUUUUUCAUUCAAUAACCAAGUAAUUUUUGUUUAUGUAAAAAUAUAAGGAAAAUGCUAUACUAUACGACGUAUGACUUGCAUGAAACUUCUUUGAUUUUAGAGAUUUCUAUAUUUGUAUAUAUCGCUUUGUCAUGUCAUGAUUUUCAAUCCAUUUUUAUAGGUGGACUCAAAAUAUAAUCCUGAGUCCUGACCUAGUGCUUAAAAAAAAUAAUCGUGACCUAGCAAGAUAUAUAUCAUGUAAUUUUUCUUUUUGCACUUCCAGGUACCUGGAUGAUAACUUUUUAUGUGAGGGUAUCCCCGAUGAAUUAGCCAACAUCUCAAGUCUCACAUAUCUGUAUGACCUUACAGCUUCAUCUUUCAUUUUUUUUUGGUUUUAACUAUUUGGGGUGAUUGGCUUUUCUAAAGUCUUUUCAUAUCAUGAUAUUUUAUAGGUCUUUCACUAAUAAUCAACUUUCGGGUCAGCUUCCACAACAAUUGGGAAACCUCAGUAAUCUUGACAGCCUGUAAGAUUUAUAUAUGUGGUUUCACAGUAUAAUCUCCACAUUAUGUUACUUCAGCAUGUCAGUGGAAAUUAUUUGAAAGAGAUUAGCGGUGGCAGAUGAUUUUCUUGUGCCCCUCUUACUUACACAAUUUGUUAAAAUAAAUGCUAAUUGUACUUCUUCAGUCUAAAUUGGAGAUUUUGGGGACUGGAUUUAUUCUCUUGGUCAAAAGUCUGGGCAAUGUUUGUUUGAAACAUUUUAGGAUCAUUUUGGCAAAAACUGGAAAAAAAAUUUAAGGAAAAGAUUUAUUUACAUCCAAACUUUGCAAACUUCUAAUAUAAUGUGCGAACUUUGAGAACCGAACUGGUGCAAUUCUUCCUUAUUGCAACUUUGAUGUCUACUUUGGUCCGUGUUCAACAACAAUUUAGGGAUCAAAGUUAAUGUGGUACUUCCUUUUGUUUAUUUGAUUGUCUAAGAAUUGUCCGAUUCUUACUCCGGAAACUCUAUAUUUUCAGGUACCUAGAGAACAAUUUAUUCAGUGGUAAAUUGCCUCCAAGCUUGGAAUCACUGAAAAAUUUAGUCAUCUUGUAAGUUUGUUCUUACGUCACAUGCAUGUAGAUAUAUCUCACGUGUAAAUUCUAUACGAUUCAAUAACUUUCUAGAACAUAUGCAGGUUUUUUGUAUGCAAGUAGGAUUCAUAUAUUAUGUUAGACUUUUGGUUUUACAUCUUUUGUUACACCUUAUAUUAGGGAGACUGUACAACAGGAUGUGUAACACCAAACAAUAACGGAUAAAAAUUGCCAUGCAACCAUAUAUAUAUAUAUAUAUAUAUAUAUAUAUGUAUGUAUAUAUCUAUAUUGUUUCACCAUGAAGUUUCUUCUGUAGCAUUAUUCAAGGAAAUGACUUCAGUGGAAGGAUUCCGGACUUCAUCUCAAAGUGGCAAAAUCUCCAAGAAUUGUAAGCCUAAGUAGCUAACUAAGAUAAGCUAAAACGAGGUUUAUGUGCAAUAUCUGAAAUCUUUUACUGUUGUAGAGAUCUACGAGGAAAUAAUUUUGAGGCGCCUAUACCAGAUGCAAUGUCAAAUUUGUCAAAACUGAAAAAACUGUAAUUCUUUACCCUGCUAAACUUUUUCAUUCAUUUUUUAAUAUUUAAUCUAAAAGAAACAUUGACAUUUACCAGCCUUGAACUUUUUCCAUUUCUUGGAUUUUAUGCAGUUCCAUGAAUGACAUGGUUGGAGCAGACAAACCUUUGUUUCCCAGAAUACAAAAUUAUGGUUCAUUGCAGUUAUUGUAGGUUAUCUAGUAUCCACCAAUUUGUCCUUGCGUGAUUCAUUUGCUUAUGAUUUCUCUAUUAAUUUCCUUAUUUCGUGAAAAUCUAAUUCUUUCCAGGACAUUGAGGAACUGUUCACUCACUGGUCCAAUUCCUGAUCAUAUCUGGAAGUUGAAAUCCUUGACUUACCUGUAAGACCCCAAACCAUAAUUAAUUCAUUAUGACUCGUUUCCAUCGAUGUAGAAUAUUGCCAUUUAAAUAUUUGUGGAACUUUACAUUCUUCCCAUCUUCUUGCCCUUUCUUUUGAAACAACAGGACACAUGAAUGCAGGUUGUAGUUUCCUUAUUUCCAAUAUCAAUAUUAUGCUAGUUCUAAAUUUGCCGUUUGCCUUCUAUACAUAUCAAAGAUAAAUGGCUUGCAUUUUUAUACUUUACUUCGUGUUUUACUGUUGUAGGGACUUGAGUUUCAACAGUUUGGUUGGAGGAAUUCCACCAGAAGUGGAUUUGCCAAACAUACAGCACAUGUAUGGAUCUUUUUCUCUAAGUUCCUUAUUAAUUUAUCUAUUUUUUAUAUAUCAAGAAGCCCAUAUUCUUCCUAUUUCACUCCCUCGUUUCAUCGUUUAUUGCAAUCUCCGCAUGUCUUUCAUUCAACACAUAUAUACAAUUUUUUUUCAACAGAGUUAUUGUAGCAUGUGUUUAUUAGGGCCUUCUAGCAUAUCUUUAUCUGUUCAAGCUUAAUGACUUCAUUAUGCUUCUUUAAUAUUAAGAACUGAAUUAUUUCUUUUCCUAGCAUGAAUAAUUCAAUUGGAUCAACUAGUCUCAAUUUCAACCAUAAGGGGGAAAAGCUCUUAAUUUGUUGGUUAAGUUUUCUUACUUUCUACUGUCUAGCACUCAUAUAUGUAAUUCUGUCAUAACAUUACGCUUACUAGCAUCUAUCCAUGGUGCAAGCCUCUCUAGGUUUUCAAAAUUUACUAUCAAUCUACCUACGUUUUACUUCUUCUGCUCUGCUUAUCUUUUCAAAUUACCUAUCUUUAUUUUUUUGCCAAUUAAUAGAAUCAAAAGUAAGCAAACUAUUGUGAAUUCGUUUUCUUCAGUUUUAAUUCCUAUAGUACUGGUUCUGUGUAGGAUUUGGUUACAUGCUGAUGGUAGAAUUAUGUCGCUACACGGUAUAUUAUGACAAUUUCCUCCAGGACUUAAAAAGCCGCAAUACAAUUUUCCUAUUGCAAUAUAAAAAAAUUCUUCCAAAAACAAUUUUGAAUAAUUUUAGUUGAUGCUUUGAAGGCCCAAGUUCAAUAUUUGUCUUUUCAUCUUCUGCAAAUUUUUCCAUAUAAGACCCUCAAACAAUAACAUCACUAAUUACUAUUGUAUCUUACAGUUGAGUUCUAACGAUAAUAGACUGUAUAUGGAAUACAAAUAAAUGCUUCAGUUAACAAAAUCCUUUCUUAUUUCCAAGAAAUCAAUGCGGUAAAAUAAGUGGUUAGAGGUCCUCAAUUAUCGUUUCACACUGAUGGCGACAAUUGUUGAUGCCAAAACUGGCUCAACUAUUAAUGGCGAAAGUUAUCCAAUUCAUUUGCUUGAAUAUGACCUGUAAAAAAUGAUAGAGAUUUUGUUCCUUGCAAAAACUCGAUGCUUGAAUCAGUACUUGAUUAAAUGCAAAACAAAACUAACCUCCUCUUUGAUGAUGUGUUGAGAUGGAUGUUAAUGGGCCAUUUAUACUUGUGGGCUUGGAACCUUUUCUGAGCCAAAAUCUCUUUCUCAGGGCUGGGGCUCUGAUGUCCUAUUUCAAGGUUUGUUAGAAUAAUAUUGGUCCCAACAAUAAUGAUCAUAAUGAUGAUAAUUUCUAGGAUUAUUGCAAAUGAAAUGGAUUGUUUAUUUGUUUAUUAACAUUCGAUAAGAUCUAUACUAUCCUACUCUAGGAGAGAAGGAAUUUAAUUGGGUUGUAUAAAGAGUUAGAGAAAAAGCAGGACCAUUUAGACCAAAAGAGUGGUCUGGCACGCUGUUUAAUUUUUUUUAAUUGCAUAAUACGAGAUUUGAACUUCUUGACCUACGUAUCAAGGAGAGGUUUUUAAUUCUUUUUGUUAAUGAACUUGUAUAAGACAAGUUGGUUUUCUAGAAGAAAAGUCAAUGGUAGUUGAUUCUUGAAAAUCUAAGCCGAAAGUGCGUACGGAGUUUUGAGCAAAGGGUCUGGAACUAGGAAGGUGAUUGAGAGCAUGGUUUUGAGGCCUCAUCAUUUGAAGUGUACAUAUAUAUAUAUAUAUAUAUAUAUAUAUAUAUAUGUGUGUGUGUGUGUAUCUUGACUUCUAGACAAAUUCUGGUUUGUCUUUGGUGAGUGUUACCUAAGUUUUGAUUUAUAUAAAUAACAAUCGAAAAGCUUAACUACAUCACUUAACAGCAGCAAAGUUACAAUCUGCAUAACUUUCUAAUUCGACCAUGUUGUCAAGCUAUUAAUUCAUAUCAAUUUCCUGGCCACUUCAAUUUGCAGAACCUUUUAAGCACGAUAGUGCUUCAAUGAUUACCAUAGCAUAGUAUGGCAUACAUUUGGAUUUCUUAGUUGAUUCGUAAUUGCUGGUUAUACUUUCGCAAGUGCAACUAAGCCAGUGAGAAAUGAGUAGUAGUAUACAUUUUGGUUGUUAUGGUAUCAAACUGGUUCUAAUAAAAGCAUUUCUUGAUGGUGUUUGACAGAUUUCUUAGAAGAAAUAACCUGAAUGGGUCUCUCCCUGUGUGGCUGACAGAAUUGAAGAAUAUAUAUGUGUAUGUACUUGUUUCCUGAAGUCAAAUUCUUCUCGGCACUAGACAUGAAAGAGGCCACUUUAUCUUAAACAGAAUGUUAAACAAAUGUUUGUUUAUUGUUUUUGUUCCAAUAGUCAUGGUAAAGGUAUAUACCAUCCUUCUCAGAUGAUAGCCAAAUACUUUUUUAUUGAAUCAUAGAAGCGCAUGAGGACCUUAAGCCUUUACUUUCCUGACACAUGACUUCAUCAAAAAGUUAUAACAGCUCUUGAAUGUAGUGGAAUAUAUUCAUUUUCUUCAAUAGUGCUGAAGAAUUGCAAAAUCGAGCGAAACUAAUAAAGCGCCAAGUAUCUUGAAAAAAGAAAAAAAGUUUCAUGCUUAUUUUCUUUGCACAAAUUUUUUAAGUCAGGGAAAACGGAUCAUUGGAGGAGCAUCAUGACCGGUGAAAUUCUCUACAUUUGUAUCUUCUGUCAGAUUCCAUAUAUUCUUUUGCUUGGAAUGAAGUUUCUAAACAUGCGAAUUUGUUUCACCUCUUUGUAGGUUUGAAGUUAAUAUAGCAAUCUUUAAUGUACUCUUGUAGUGAUCAUCAAACAUUUGCAGGGAUGUUUCCGAAAAUUCUUUCACAAACGUGACAAUACCUAAAGAUGCCUUUUCUCCGAGAAAGUGAGAUAAACUAACCCAUAUGAUUUUUCUCGUACACUUAUCAACACUCACGUACAUGUUUAUGUAACAUUCUUUGCUCACUCUACUUUGUGUUAGUUUUCAGUAGAUUUCAUUUUUUUUCCAGGAACUUUUUUGCUUGCUGUUCUAAAGUAAACACUGAGUAAGUUGUUGCCUUCUCAUUUCAUUUCUUUUUUGCUCAAGAAAAUUUGACGUAGAUAACCUUUCAUGUGUCUUCCUAUACAGGGGUAUGAAUUGGCUUGAAACUAAUUAUUCUUGUGGCAAUAGCUCAAAGAGAUGUAAGUUCAUCAAUUUUUUUUCCCGAGAGCACAAUAAACACUUUCUUGACCUAUUUUGAUGGUAGAAUUUAAAUUACAAGCAAAAAUGUGGUAUUAACAAAGCGAAUUCCCACCCUGUAGGCCUUUUGUCAAAGCAAUAUUAAUACUUCUAGUGGUGCCCUCGGCAAGAAAGUAAGGAAUGCAACUAAUGAAACUGUCAAUUUAAAAAAUGCAUUGAUCUUUCCUACAUUGACAGUUUAGGCAUUUCUUAACCUUUUCUUGCAUGCAUAAAUGCUUAAUUGGUCUCGGAUGGUAUGACAUCAAACAUGAACUUAAUUGAUCAUAAACAAACAGACAUAAUGUCUCUAAUGGUUUACAACACUACUUGAGCUUGCUAAGUGCGCAUGAUAUUUCUACAUGAUAUUUUAAUUGAUCAUUAAAAUAUCAGUAAUAACCAUGAUAUUUGUACAGAUGAACAUUUGUACAUCAACUGUGGAGGAAAUGCAGAAACAAUAAAUGGAAGCAUCUAUGAAGCUGAUCUUGAUCCAAAUGGAGAAUCAAGGUUCUAUCUGAGCAGUAAUGGAGCCUGGGGAUUCAGUAGUAUGGGAAUCGUUGAUUUUAAAAACCAGAAGUACACACUAAACAAGCAGUGCAAUAUUUCCUUAGUUGAUGCGCCUUUAUACAUGGAUGCGCGCGUAUCUUCAAUUUCAUUGAAGUAUUAUGCAUUUUGUUUAAAGAACAACCAAUACAUGGUGAGACUUCACUUUGCUGAAAUAGGCUUGGAUACGCCUAAAAAUCCUAGGAUCAAGAGAAGUAGAGUUUUUGAUGUAGAAAUCCAGGUAAAUAGUCUAUUCAAGUACAAAAGAACUGAAAGUUUACAAACCAGAGAUUUUACUAACCAAGAUUAAUUGUACUACAGGGCAAGAAAAAAGAGAAAAAUUUCAAUAUCGAAGCUGUUGCAGGGGGUGUGAAUUUGAACGCAACCCUGGAAUAUAAUGACGUUGAUGUUCGUGACAACCGAUUGGAGAUUCACUUGUAUUGGUCCGGAAAAGGUUCACCUUUCGGACGUUACCGUGGUCCCCUAAUAUCAGCUAUUUCCAUAUCUCCCGGUAUUUGUUAUUUUCUUCUUUGUAUAUCGUACACUUUUUUUUUCUUCGUCUUGUGCUUUCCAGGAUGUGCAAUGUCUUGCUUUUCUGACUGAUCUUUUGGUAUUUUUUACUGGAAUAGUUCCUAAAAGGCAUCUGAAACUUUCUUCUGCAAUCAUCGUUGGAAUUGUUGUAUCUUCAAUACUUGCUGUUAUAUUAAUCUUAGCUCUCUUCUGGAAGUUCGGCUGGCUUGGUGGAAAAAAUAAUAAGAAUGUCGGUAGGUUUAUCAUUGUGGCACAAAGCUGAAAUUUAGUAGAAUAAACUAUAAUUCUAUGAGCAUAUCAUUUGGCUCAAAAGCUAUUUCCUUUCCAUUGUUAUGCUUGAGACAGAACAAAAAGGUAUCGAGCUAUUCCCUGGAGGGGUUUUGAACUUCCAACAAAUAAAAGCAGGUACUAAUAGUUUUGAUCCUAAGAACAAGAUAGGCCAAGGAGGUUUCGGGGAUGUCUACAAGGUACGGUAUAUGCAUCAAAAUGAUCUUAACUAGUCAGCUUUCAAUCACUUUAUCAUUGAUAUAAUGUCUCGGUUUUUUUCCCGGUGGUCUGUUUAUUCAGGGUGUGCUACGAAAUGGGACUAUAGUAGCUGUAAAAAAGCUUUCAGCAAAGUCCAAACAAGGAGCCAAGGAAUUUAUAAAUGAAAUUGGUACUAGCUAUGCUUUGCAACACCCAAAUCUCGUAAGGCUAUUGGGAUGUUGUGCUGAACAAAGCGAACUUCUAAUUGUCUAUGAGUACAUGGAAAAUAAUUCUCUUGAGCAGGCAUUAUUUGGUAAACAAGACAUUUUCUUUGUACAUGCAACACGUUUAAAAUCUCUGUAAAAUUGCAGCAUAUGAAGUCUCUUAACUCGCUGGCAUCUGCAGGUUCGGCAGAAGUCAAAUCCAGACUAAAUUGGCUGAUAAGAGUUAAAAUUUGCCGUGAUGUUGCGAAGGGGUUGGCUUAUAUCCAUGAAGAAUCUAGACUUCGAAUUGUUCACAGAGACAUAAAACCGACAAACAUACUUCUUGACAAGGAUUUUACUGCCAAGAUAACAGAUUUUGGAUUUGCCAAGCACAGCAAAGAGGAGAAUCCUCAUGCGAUUACACGCAUAGCAGGAACAAAGCACGGCAAAGAGGAGAAUCCUCAUGCUAUUACACGCAUAGCAGGAACAAAGUAAUCCAACAAGUUCUCCAGUACAAUCUGAGAUAAGAAAUUAUUUCUGCAUUUUUAAAUUCUUGUGAUGAUUGCCUCUUAACAUGAAAGACAUCUGCAGGGGGUACAUGUCACCUGAGUAUUUGCAAGGCUUCUUGUCAACGAAAGCAGAUGUCUACAGCUUUGGCCUUGUCACACUAGAAAUUGUUAGCGGGAAGCAAAUUUCAACUUUUAGGGCAAAGGAUCAGAAUAUUUACCUUUUGGAUAUAGUAAGGCAGCUGCAAAAUACAAAUCAACAUAGACACAUACAAUUAAAUUGAUUUUUUUCCACCUUGUAUUGAUAGCUAUUGCUUGGGCUUGUCUACACUUUUCAGGCUUAUGAUUACCAACACCAAGGAAAUCUUAUAGCUCUUGUUGAUUCAAGCCUAGGAUCUGAUUACACCCACAACGAAGCGCUAAAAGUGUUGGAUUUAGCAAUGGAGUGCGUGAACCCAACUCCCAAGCUUAGGCCAUCAAUGUCUAAAGUUGUGAAAGUUCUUGAAGGAAUUGUAAAAGAUGUAGAAGCAAAAUGGAAAACAAAGACUUCCUCUACUGGAAAAACUUCUUUGGGGGAUGAUUCUUCGAUGGCCAACCCCGAUUUUGCUUUCUCUCAUUCUACUCAAUCAGCUGGGAGUACAUCCCAAGAAGGUGCUUCAGAUAUAAUCAUUUGUCCUUCAACAAGCAAAGAAAUUGACGACUCCAGCAACUCGGACGAUUAACAUGCCAAGGCUGGAAAUUAACCAGGAAUCACUACCAUGGUAGUCUUCCCUUGAGCAUUGAUAAUCCUAAUUUUUGUGAAUGACAGCAUUCAUCAUGCAUUAUUGCAUUGAAGUGUCUCUGCAGUUAGCAGAUUAUAGUAUUUAAGCUACUAAACAAGCCUUCAUAAAAGAUAUUGGCUCAUCUAUGCGUGGAAAUGAUGCAAAUUAUUGUAUGCUAUCUCAAGUAUAGCCAAUAUUAAUGCAAAUUCAUGUCUAUUGGAAGUAAUUUGCAGUUUUUUCAAGUAGUUAUGGUGAUUAAAGAACAUGGUUACCAGAAACUAGCCUCCUUCGCAUAAGACUUCACACAGCUACUGAGCAAGUUGCAUAAAUUUCAGCAUUUCAACACUUCAUUUAGAUGGGAACAAAUGUUAAGCUACAUUAUCUCAUGCGCUAAACGUCUUCUUCUUCUUCUUCUUUUUUUAGUUCUUCCUUUUUUAACUAUAAAAAACAAAGGCCAAAUUUUCUUUCGUUCAUCUUAGAGAUAUAGGAUAUGUGGCAUUAUGUUAAGUUGGUAUAGAUGGCUAACGAAAAGAAUUUAAAGCUGGACAUUUUGCCGCUUGGAGGGGGUUUCAGCAUAGGAGCGACGUCCCUGAAAUUAGAUGGAUUUGAAUUUUGUUGGUAAGCCUUUUCUCACAUGCUAUCCAGAGAGUGCAUAACUUGGUAUAUGGUACUUUUCUCCUACUAGCCUCUGCCAAAAUACAAUUUUGUUGAAGACACCUUAUUUUAGCUUAAAGUGUAGGUAGGAGUUCUUGACCUCAGAAGCGCUUACUUUUAUUUCAUCUCCCAUAUCAUUCAACUCAUCCUUCCCCCAAUUUGGAACCACUACGAGAAAUUUGGCCUUUUGUAACAAUAUUCUCAGUGACAACAGAGAAACUUGUCAUAAUUGAGAAAAUUCAAUGACAACUUUUGAUGUCGUCAUAGUUGCACGGGGCUACACUUGUCAACAGUGACAACACGAGAUAAGUCGUCAUAAUAUGGAUGACGCACAACUAGCCAGUGUGGCGGGAGAGCACCAUUGUGACAACCGGCAAAUAGGUUGUCGCUGAAAUAGGUCCUAUAAUGACAACUCAAAAUGUCAUCACAACAUAGUUGCCGGUUCAAAAUUAGUAACAACAACUACCCGUUACUGUCCAAAGUAUUUGUUCCUAAUUCACUUUCACUAAUUCUACUAUGUCACUCUAAUUUUUUCAAUGUGACCCAUAUGUUGUAAAUAAAUUUUAUUAAUUCUACUUUGACAGUGUAACUUUUACAAUUGAACCCCGUAUGUGGUAAUUAAUCUAAUUAAUUUUACCAUGACACCUUAUAUUUUACAAUUUAGGUUCGCAUUGUGACGAUUUGUCACUGAAAUAGUGUGACGCCCCCACUUCUCCCAAGGAUGAACCCAAGGGUAUUGGCGGGACGCCUGCCCAACUCUCGCCAGGACUCGGUACAAUCCAUAAUUCAAAACUAGGAAUACUUCAAUUAACUUCAAUAUAUAAAUUUAAAGUACUCCAAAACACUUCAUACUUACAAUAGUCAGCUCUCAAGUUUAAUACAACCCAAAAGAAUAUUUACUACAGCCAUCUGCUGUAGUACAACUUAAAGUUUUCAAAAGAAAACAAUUUAGUACUAUUCACGAGCACCCUUGGUCUUGAAUCUUAUUAAGGAAAACAAAAAUGUGGAAUGAGCUACACAGCCCAGUGAGGUUCCAAGACACUCUAGCAGUUCUAAUAGAUCAAUUAAUUUGAGCAUACCACAUACAUGGUUCAAGGUUGCAUAUUGAUCACCUUAACAUGAGAUAGUCAUCAUUGUACGAGUACUUUGAGCAUAACAUAAGCAUGGUUCAAGAUUGCACCUUAGCACAUUAGCAUGAUACAGUUAUCAUUGUACGAGUAAUUUGAGCAUAUCACAGGUAUAGCUUAGGGUCGCACGUUGGCACAUUAGCAUGAAACAGUUAUCAUUAUGUAAAAUAAACACACAUUGAAGGAUACGGUGUUCCAGUGGAACCAUUUCGGUCAACUGUACCUUAUAACUUCAGAAUCCCCUCGAUUUGUCUGGCCAUCACCUUAUCCCUCUAGUGGUAGUACUCGAAUAUACCGAAACGGUGGCCCAGGGUUCCAACCUACCCGACCGAGCCCAAUCCUGGAUCGUGUAGGUUAGUAACCAAGGGCAGGGCCCAAUUCAACUUAGAACUUACAACAUGCACAAGUAAUCAAAUAAAUCGGUAAACGGUAAACGGUAAAAAUUUAUCAUUUUAAUAGAUCGAGUGAGAUAAAGUACACACUCGCCUUAACAUGGUGGAUAAUUUCAUAUGAGCAAUUAUUAGUAACAUUUAACACAUAAACACGUAAGCAAUAUACGAUAAUUUCAUAUGAGCAUAUAAUUUACGGUAAUCAAGUAAUCAAGUAGUAAGGUAAUCAAGUAAGCAGGUAAUCACGUUGGUAGGUAAUCAAGUAGGUUGGUAAAUGGUAAAUAAUUAUGGUUAACGGUUAACAGUUUACGGUAAGUAAUUACGGUUAAUUGGCAGAUAUUUGCCAUUUUAAUAGGCCGCCAUUGGCCAUUUCCCACUUUUACCACUUAAGAGUCGAGAAGAUUCACUCCAAUCGACUUAUGCAGCCAUAGCAUAAUUAAUCAUUGCAACACUUUACGUAAAUAUGCAUUUUAAGUAUUUCAUGUCGAGUAAUUCAAAUAUACUUUACUUAAAUAUGCAUGAGUGUGGUAAAUACUUGACAUGUAACAUUUAACACUUAAUGAUCAUGAAAUAAGCAUGUCAUAAACUUAUUCAAAUUACGUACUCCUAUAUGGGAUACUCACCUAGUCAAAACAAGUGAGUAAGCGCCCAAACAAGUGUUUAGGCGUCCGCUCCGAGUCCCUCUUGAAGGUCCCCUUGAGCGCCUGAGCAAGUAAUAAUUAACUUUACUUAAAAUCAUGCAUUUACCCAGAAGGAUGCACACUCAAUUAGACUAAAUCAAAGCCUUAAAAGAAAGCUUCAAUUCUCUCUACUCGAGGUUCAAGAGUGGAGUUUUAAAGUUCGAAGAGAGUCUAACAUCGUUCAUGAAAUCGAGUUCAAAACGUUCAAUCUAUAUCGAGAAAAGAAGUCAAGGUUCCAAAAUUACAUUUUCUAAGAAAUUGGCAAAUUUCAGCUUUGGAUGUCAAACUUAGAAAAAUCAUAUCUUGCACUCAAUAGGUCCAAAAAUGGAAAACUUAGUACCGUUGGAAACUAGUUCCGAAGUACUAAAAGUUCCUAAAACACUUUUCUAAGAUUCAAAAUAGAAGACACUCAAAUUUUAGCUUAAAGUGGCUGACUUGGACUCCCAAGACAGAUUCGGGUUGGUUUUUGGCAAACUUUGAAAAUUCGGCAAAAUUCACACAAUACGAACUAGCCUCCAAAAUUUGGAACUCAAUUAGAGUUGCAAUCAAAGUUUAAAACAAAACAAACGGAACAAGAAUUGAAGUUUUAAGUGCCAAGAUAUAGCAGCCCAAAAUUGAUCAAAAAUUCCUCCUUGAUCAAGAAUUUCCAAAUUUGAAACAUGAAUUUUGGGACUUCAGCUGGACAUUGAAAUAGACUCAGAAUGGCACAAAAUUUGGUAGUAUUACUCUACAAUAUAAGGGCUAUUCAUCUGUCAAAUUUCAUAUAAAAAUUCAUUCGAGAAGUCGGUUAACAAAGCCACUAAAAUUCCAAGAAUUUCCAAGGUAAUUUCCAAGCCACUUCAAUUUUCUUUUUUUUUUUAAAAGCUUUGUUCCACACAAUCAACUUCAAUUAAUUCAAAUAUUGAGACCUUGUUCCAUAAACAUCCAAUAAGAAAUUUAUAAGUACUUGACAUCAAGGUUUUCGAAAUAUAACUUCUCAAAUCAGAUUUGACCAUUUGGCCAAGAGAAAAGGAAAAUUUUCCAGAUUCGAAGAGCAAUUUUGGGACAUCAUUUGUAUAUUGAAAUGGUCUUAGAUUGACACCAAAAUUGGUACAAUUUAACUUCCAUAUGAGGACUACUCCUCUACCAAAUUUCAUUUGAAAAUUCACACGGGAAGGUAGUGAACUAAACUACCAAAUUUCAAGAAAAUCCCAAGACCAAUCUGUCAUUUGCUUCCUUCUUCCUUUUCAAAUAUUUUGCCCAAUGAAAAUGAUUCAAAUCUAGCCCAUUUAUGAAACAAAGGUCUAAGAAAUAUCCAAAAUACAUUUGGUAGGUGAUUAACACCAAGAAUUUCAAGAUCACAAGUCCCAAUUCAAAAAGAGUCAUUCAACUAGCCAAAAAGAGGGUUUUCAACCACUGAAUCAGUUUCGAACUUUGGCCACAACUCACUCAAUUCAACUUGAAAUUAAGCAUGGUUGGUGGCAUUGAAACCUAGAUUCAUAAAGAUAAAAUUUCUUAGAAGAAAUCAUUUUCAAAAUCUAUCCACAGCUAGCUCAUAUUUGAGCAUCACUUCGCUGCUCAAAACAGAGCUCCCAGUGUAGACGCGAAAUAGGACAGUCAUGUUCAAACGAUUGGUAUGGACUAUUCAGGUCAAACCAGGACAUGAAUUUUAUACUGUUGAAAAACUGGGAAUGUCUAGUUUGCAAUGCCACAAACGGCACUUGAUUUCGACAUCGUAGCAAAAAGUUAUAGCCGUUUGAAGAACACUGCCAGAGCAGUUACGGGAAAAUUUCCAGUUUUGCUAGACUUUCAAAAUCACCACAUUUGGCUAACCAAAUCACGAAAUUUUUUUGAUGAAACUUUGUACACAACCUAUAUUACGCAUAUACAUUAGAAACAAGUCAUUAUAACAACAAAAAAAAUGCUCUAAGGACCACGGCAUGUACAGGGGCAGAAAUGAAAAAAAUCUCCCCUUCACUUCCUUUGAGCUUUCCUUCAACAAUACAACCUAUUUCCACUAGAUUAAAUACUAAUCCAACAUUAAUAACUCAAAACACAACAAAUCAGUCCAUCAAGCUAUAGUGGGAGUUUAUAGAGCCCACACACCAAUUUUUCAACAUAAAUAAAGCUACCCAUGAGAAUCCAAGAGCUUAUGGGUGUAAUAUAACUUCCACAAACUAAGAUUUUGGUAGUUGAUCGUUGUUUACCUCUCUUGAUGAACAAAACAGAAAUUUUCGGCCUCUUGAAGCUCAACAAAACCGUGGAAAGCAAGCUCUCUUCCUAGCUUGAGGUGGUCUCCAAGUAAUUUACAAGUUGUAGCUAAAAUUUGGGAUGAUUUGGGUGAGGAUUUUGUGAAGAAAUGGUGAAGAAUUUUGGAGAGCUUUGGGUUGUUUUCCUUCCCUUGGUGGCUGGCUGGAAUGAGAGCAAGAGAGAGAGUGCUUUGAUCAAAAUGAAGCUUCCAAGAGAAGCUUUAAUGUGUGCAUGGCUACAAUUCGUUCAAAAGUCAACCCUCUCCCGCACGCGCACGCGCACGUUUCGUGCUCAAUUCCUCUCGAAUUUGUUUCACUUGAGCACUAAACAUUUAAUGUACUUCCAAUCAUAUUAUUAUUAUUCACUCUUAAUAGUCCAAAAAUAAAGUUUAAAGUUCCUCAAUUAAAUCGCACGCGCAAAACGCGUACCUCCGAUUUGUGCGCGGUGAAGCGAAAUUUUCAAGAAAUUCUUAUAACGAUAGUAUUACUAACUAAUAAUUGAAUACUUAAGUAUAAAAAUACCUAUUUUAAGACUAAUGUACGAGUCUCCAAUUUUCCAAGCUCAUUGUAUUCUCGAAUCGAUUAUUAACUCCAAUCGCGUAUUCACUAUUCUCACUUAACGGCUUUCAAAAAUUAAAUUUUGAAACGAGUCAUUUUAAAAAUAUAAGUGAGUCAUAGUUCCAUGAAAUUGGGUCUAAAAAGUUUGAAAUAAAAUAUUCUGGGCAAAUGGACAAUUAAAUAUUUAAAUAAGCUAGUAACAGGAGUUUAAAAUAGGUUAAUUUUUGCGAGUCCUCACAAAUGGACUCCACAGUGACAACUUAUAAUAUCGUCACAAUAGGGUUGCUAGUUCAGAAUUAGUGACAACAAUUAGUCGUCACUAUCUAAAGUACUAGUUCCUAACAUGCUUUUAUUAAUUCUACUAUGCCACUCUGUGGCAAUCCCACCUUUCCCUAGGGCGUACCCUAAGGUACCAUCAGUCCGUCUGUCCAACUCUCGUCAGGACUCAUUAACAAACUUCACUCAUCAAACUCACAUGUCCAAACUUAUUACAAGGUACACUAAAUAUAACUAAUACCUGUAGUUGUCUGUCGAAGCAACUUAAAAUACAAAAGAGAGUUUAAGUUUACAAAUAACAUUCAAAAUAAUAAUAUAGUACUCUAAUCACUUAGUCUAACUAAAAGAAAAGCGAAGUGCUAAUCCCUGAAUCACGAACGAAUCCUAUUAAGGGAAAUAAAAGGAAAGGCAUGAGCUUACGGCCAGUGAGGUAUAAGAAAGUGAUGCAAUCUAAGUUAGCAAUUAUUUCACAUUUUCAAGUCAACGGGAGACAUAAACAAGAAGUAACAUCUACGCACAUUAAUAAAAAAAAUCAAUGUGUCGAUCAUUAAGGAUAUUGAACACACUGGCGAACCAUUCAAUCAAUCAUUUAGUCAAGUAGUUGACACUUCGUCAAAUUUCAUGUCCUUGUAGAAUCACCACUUCACACCACUCUAUCCACCUUUUGCCCCCUACUGGGCCUUCACACUACAAAUUUUCAGGAAUUGGUAUUAUUCGAGUAUACCCAGUAUAGUAUGGAUCCAACACACAUGUACUACCCAAGAUUCGCUAAUCGAGUUGACCAAACCCUUGCCGGCUCGACCUCAAAUAACUAGCCAUUGGGAUUUUUUUUUCCUUUCGGGGCCCUCACAUAUCGUUAAUAUCAUAUCAUAUUCACUUAUAGCAAUAACAGUUCAGUAGGGUCGAAUAUGAUAAAGUACACACUCGCUUAUUCAUAAACAAUUUCAAAAAUGACAGUUCAUAGCCAUAUCAUAUUUCUCAAACUCAUUGACAUAUCAAGCAUAUAUAUAGUGCUACCAUAUACUUAGAAUACUCACCAAAUAGUACUUAAGCAUCCACAGAAGGAUUGUCUGCACGUUUAGUUUGCAACCCUGACAGACAAAUACAACAUAUAAGUAAACCUUUAGUGUUCACCAAUUCAAUUCACUUAAGCAUGAAAACUUUGUUUUCAAAUUGGUCAACUUUAGUGUCCUAAGCACUUCAAUCUAUUUAGGCUUACAAAUCAACAAUUCAGGUAAAAAAAAAGGGUACAACUUUCCAUUAGAGCAAAAGCAUUUCAAAAGUUUGGACAAGGCUUUCCAAUCCUACAAUAGUUUUCUAGCAAGCAAAUCAUAGCAAAAGUCCAAUUUUUCAAUUAAUUACAUUCGUAGUUUUUGUCCCAAAAUCAUCUCACAAAUAAGGAUCAAAGUUUAAUAAGGUUUCUUGAACUAAACCAACCAAAACUUCAUUAAAACAAGGAUCCAAAGUCAAAUUAGUCCAUAAAGCUGUCAACCACUAAACUUUGGAGGAAAUCUUAUUUUCCUCCCUUAAAACUUCAAAAUUUUGAUCCAAAAUCAUUAUACAUACCAAGAUCAAAGUCCAAUAAAACCCUUUGAGCUAAAUUCCACCCAAAAAGAGCUUUUUUUUUUUUUUAACAUACUUUAAACAACAUAUAUAGAAUCAAGUAGAAUCAAAUUUCCUAAAAAUUUUCCAGCACGAGUGUACAAACAAGCCACAAAUUCAAGGAAGGUAAAGUUGAAAAUUUGCCCAUGGUAAUUGUCCAUCUAAACAGAAAUUCCAGCAUAUAUAUGCUCUAAUUUUCACCAACAAUUUACCAUAAAUCAUACUCAAAUCCUCAAGGGUUUCAUCAAUCAUUAACCCUAGGAUCUCAAGAGACAAGAAUUCACCAAAUUUUAGCCAAAUAUAUCAAGAUCUAAGCAUACGAAGAUCAUGUAAGCAUCUAGUACCAAAUUUCCAUAAAAUUUUCAAAUCCACUAUGGUUUUCCAUGAAUACCAUAAAUCUACCAAGAUCUUGUUCAAAAUUGCUUGAAAAGCAAAAGAAUAAAGUGAAGUAGCCACUUACCUCUUCAAAGCCCCAAACUUUAGCAUGAUUAACCCAAGAAGAUGGCAAGAUCCACUCCCUAGGAGGCUUUUCUCUCAAGAUAUUCCAAAAGUUCAAGUAAAUUGGUGAAAGGGAAGCUUGGAUCUUCAAGAAUUUCAAGAAGAUUGGGGUUUCUCUCUCCCCUCUCUCCCUUUCUCUAAAUUUCGGCCAGCAAGAAAAGAAAAAUGAGGUGGCUUUUGGUUGCUUUUUGAGCUAAUGUAAUGGCCACAAGACAAGGUUUUCAAGUCAACUAGGAAUAGUGUCUUAAAUAGUGUUUUUCACUUAGGUUUCCUGCUAUCAACCCUUAGCUUUUCUAACCUUUUUUUAACUCCCAAAAUCUUUCUUCACUUCACUAAUAUCUCAACUUAUAUUCUCCUUGUGACGACCCCACCUCCUCCUAAGGCGAACCAAAGGGGUUCCGCGGACCGCCUGCCCAACUCUCGUCGGGGCUUACUCACUUAUCGCUUCAAGAGCAAGUAAAGAUGUGCCAAUCAAACUAAACAUAACUUAACAUAUAUACAAUCAUUAACACAGAUAUACAAUCCUCAAGGUUAAGUACAAAAAGUCCAGGAUCCAACCAACUACUAAUACUAUUACUAUUACACAACAAAAGUUCUAGUCAAAAUUGUAGUCUUCCUCUAAUCACUCAUCCUUUCUCUUAAACCUUGUAAGGAAACCAAAUGUAACGGAAUAUAGGGAUGAGCUAAAAUUCAGUGAGGUUCCCAUACACAUAACCAAGCAAUUAAAACAAGGACAUUAUUCAUUUAAUAAUAAUCAAUCGAAAACACAUUCACAAUAUAAAAAUAAUGAAAACACACUCAUUAAAAGGAUACAUGCUCACGUAGAGCCUUUCAUUCCAUCAUUCAUUCAUUCAGUCAGGCAUUCUCCUUCCUUCAAUCAUUCAUUUCUUCCCUUAUAACUUCAAUAAUUCAAUUCAUUCAUUUCAUUUCCCGCCACUAGCCAAUUCACUGGCCAGUUCUCCACCAAACUUCGUGGUCAUAUUCGAGUAUACCAAAACACUGUCCCAGGGUCACCAGCCGCCCGACUGAGUCUACUUUUGGCUCGAGUCGACUGGCAACGAAGGGCAAGGGUCCAGUUCAACCAAAAGACUUAUAUUCAUGCACAAGUAACAUUCAAUCAUUUAAUCAUUAAAAUUUCACGUUCACUUAAGUCGAGUGCGAUAAAGUACACACUCGCCCAUCGAAAAUUCAUUUAACAAUCAUUGAAAAACAUUUAACAUUCAAGCAAACACUCACAAAUAUUCACAUAGUCACUUCUUGCAUAAACAUGCAAGGAAUACUCACUCUAAACAAGUCACGUUUUAUCAAAUUUUAGUUCAGGGCCGGCACCUUGGCCACUCUUGAAAUCUGCAGUCAAAUAUGGUCCACAAAAAUCCAAUCAUACACGAGUGCAAGCUACAUAACCUAUAUUUCUAUAUCAAAGGAAAAAGGCAUGAAAAGUAUUGUAAGUCAUAUAGGCAAGGUACACGCAUAAUUUGUAAAAAAAAUGAUAAAAAACGGUUAAGUUUAAAUCCAAUAUGUGCAACUAAAAACCAUGUUUUGAAUACUUGUUUAGAAUAUUAGAAAUCAGGUUUAGAACACUUGAGAAGUACAUGUUAAGUCGGACCAAGGAAACGGAAAAGAAAAAAAAAAGGCAACAAGAAACAAUGAAGAUGGCAGCUUUGCCAUCCUUUGGUGUUUUGAUCACAACUGAAGCCACACUUAUUGGAUUGAGGCAAACUUUAUGGUGUUUCGAAUCUAAAACAGAGACCUACAUUUCCAAUGAAGACAUCAGCACCCAGGUCUCGCAUUGUCAGCACAUGAAAAACAGGUCAGGAAAAUUAGAGUUUUUGUGCAGUCAUGAGUGCUCUGGCGAAAUCAUAAGCAGUCCAAUUGAUCUGAAAUUUUACAGGUAGAAAUUUAAGUCAAAUCCCUAUAACUUUCAUGUUUUGUCCAAAAGCUGAUUCAGUUUAAAACAUGGAGAAAUUUGCAGCCCAAGUUGAUUCCAAAAACAGGGCAAAACUGAAAGUCACCACCAAAUGUUGGAAAUUCAACUUUUAACUCUACAAAGUCACAAACAUGCUCUUAAUCACUUCACAAAUGAAAUUUCCAAGCUCAAUAACAACAUUUACUAGUUAAACAACAUAAUCAUCGCUGGAAAAUAUAAAACCCUAACUGAAAAUUCGACUACACCAUCAAGACUAGGAAAUCAACCAUAGCAAGUCAAGAUUAAAAGCUCCUAUAUCAAACUUAGCAAGAUUAAAUAAAAGAAAAGGAAGUUGAAGCCUUAUACCUUCCAAUACUUGUUGCUAAGUGAAGAACCAACCACUUUCUCCCAAGAUUUCCACCACUCCUAGCUUCCUAAUCACCAAGAGGUAAGUUUAAUCGGUUUGGUUUGUGUGAUUUCAACUCAACAAGGAAGAAUCAAGGUUAGAGUUAAAGUUGGUUUUCUCUCUUUUUCUUUCUUUCUUGCUCAUGGCCACAUGAAGAAAUGAGGAAGACAAGGAGCCAAAAUGGAAGAUAAGAAGAAAGAAGUUGUCUUGGUCAACCAUCCCUAACUUCCAACACUUGGCACCAUAAGAUAUUUUCUUUUUUUUUUUCUCUUUCCUCCUCUUUCCUUAGUCAAGAAUUUUGGCUGCUUUGAGAGGAAAUUUAGGGCUGAUUAGCUCAAAUAAAAAUAAGGAGAUUAGGACAAGAAAGUAGUGGUCAAGUGGAGUACUUGAUCGGUAGCAAACGGUGCACGUCGGUUCAAGCCUAUUUUUCUUAACUCUCGCGUACUUAUGUUUUAACUUGUGAUUCACUAACUUAUUAUUAGCACUUCUAAUCAAACACUUUCUCUUAUAUAAAACUCAGUCUUAACCACCAAAUUAGUACACACACCUCACCAAUAAAUCACACUACCAAAAUAGGCGAAAACCCUAGUUUACCCUAACUUCCGCUAUUCCUUUAGAAAAAUCAUAAUUUGAGUUAUACUAUCAAAAAUUCAUACAACUUGGCCUAUUAAAUAUUAGACUUCAAAUACUAAUAAUCUUUAGAAGACACCUCAAAAAGAUUCAAUUCAUAAGUUGGGCCAAAUUAAGCCGUAAACGACUAUAACAUUCCUAUUUUUACUUGUGCAAGGCAAAAUUUUCAAUCAACUUUGCCGAUUUUCUGGUAUUUAUAGAAAUUGAAUCAAACUCUAAUUUUUAUAUCGUAGGAAGCCCAAUGAGUCUAGUUUCAAAUACAACAAACGAAACUCAAUUCCGACUUUCCUAUACUAAGUUAUAGCCAAUUUCCCAAAUUUGCGCAGAGCCUCUUGCGAAAAUUUCUAGAUUUUCUAACAACUUGAGAUUAUGAAAAUUUUCCUAACAAAAUUCACUCUCUUGGCUCAAUUUCAACCAUUAAAGCAACCAAGAAUCAAAGUUAAGUCAGUUCACAUAAGGGUUAUAAAGACAAAUAAAAUUUCGAGGUCUCACACUCCUAGGGUUUUGGCCAAAUUCACUAAUAAGUCACGAAAUCAAUAAUUUUCAAGAAAUUAAUCGCUCAAAAGUUAAAAUAACAAGGAAGAGAAACUCACUUAUCAAUUAACAAGUAAAUCACUAAAUGAAUGCAAAUUUUAUAAAAAAAAUAUAAGUUAAAUAGGAAUGCAAUUAGUUGGGAAGUGAGAAAAUAAUUUUUCUGAGUCAUCAUAUCCUCCCUUAAAAGAAUUUUGUCCCCGAAAUUCUCAAGUGGUCAAGCGAACAAAUCUGCAUAGUUCUUCCACAUUUCCUCCUCCAUCUCCUAAGCCAUUUCUUCCAUUCCAUGGUUUCUCCACAAGACUUUCACCAAAGAGGUUUUCUUCCUUCUUAACUCUUUCACUUUCCGAUCCAAAAGUUGUACUGGUUGUUCCUUAUAAGUCAAUGACUCGUCAAUCUCUAAAUCUUUAGGUUGGAGCACAUGAGUUGGAUCUGGGUAGUACUUCUUAAGUAAGGAGACAUGGAAAACAUCAUGAAUUUUAAAAAGACUUAAAAGCAACUCUAAGCAAUAUGCUACACUUCCCACUCAUUGUAAAAUCUUAAACGGUCCUAUAUACCUCGGCUUGAGUUUCUUCCCUUUUCCUGUCAUGAUUCUAGCUUUCAAUAUUGUAAUCUUAAGGAAAGCCCUAUCCCCAUCUUCAAAUUCUAAGUCUUUUCUUCGAUUAUCUGUGUAGCUUUUCUGUUGACUGUGAGCUGCUUGAAUCCUUUGACGUAUAAUUUUUACUGUCUCAUAAGCAUCUUCAAUCCACGGUAAUGUUGUUGGAUCCACGAUUUUUCUUUCCCCUACUUCUUCCCAAAAAAAUUGGGGAAAGACAUUUCCUCCCAUAAAGAGUCUCAUAUGGAGCCAUUUGGAUAGUCGAAUGAUAACCAUUAUUAUAGGCACUCUACCAAGUUUAGGUAUUGUCCCAAACUUUAUCCAAAAUCCAAAACACAAGUCCUCAACAUAUCCUCAAGGGUCUGAAUAGUCUUUUCCGAUUGCCCAUCGGCCUGAGGGUGGUAAGUAGUAUUAAAAUUCAACUUAGUUUCCAAAACUUCUUAUACCUUUUGCCAGAACUGAGAUACAAAUUUGAGAUCUCUAUCUGACACUAUACUUACUGGCACCCCAUGUAACCUCACAAUCUCAUCCAAGUAGAGUUUAGCUAAUUUCUCCAAAGGAUAUUUCAUGUUAAUUAGCAAGAAAUGAGCAGUCUUAGCUAAACGAUCGACUAUCACCCAAAUUGCAUCAUAACCCUUUUGAGUCCUCGAUAACCCCAACGCGAAAUCUAUAGUAAUAUGCUCUCAUUUUCACUGAGGUAUUUCUAACAACUGCAGUAAUCUUGAGGGUUUCUAGUGUUCUUCUUUCACCUGCUAACAAACAAAACAGGUCUGAAUGAACCGUGCUAUUUCCCUCUUCAUAUUAUCCCACCAAUACAAUUGCUUCAUGUCUCUGUACAUUUUAUUACUUCUAAUAUGUAUUGAAUACUUUGAGUGUUGAGUUUCUUCUAAAAUUUCUCUUUUUAUUCCGUCAUUUUUUGGCACUACUACUCGAUUUCUAUACCUUAAAACUCCGUCGGAUCCCAAGCAAAAUUCUGGAAGUUCUCCUCUUUGCACUUUUUAACUCCAUUUAUAUACCACUAGGUCUCUCUUUUGAGCUUCCUUAAUGCAUUCCAAUAAAGUUGACCUCACAACUAUAUUCCCACAAAUCACCUUUUGAUACUCAAUUUGAAGAUUCUAUUCACUAAUCUUUUCUAAUAAAUGCCAUUCCAAGAUCAUAAGCCCAACUAUCUGAACUUUUCGUCUGAGUGCACCUACCACUACAUUAGCCUUUUUCGGGUGAUAAUUAAUAGUACAAUCAUAGUUUUCCAAAAAUUUCAUCCACUGAUGUUGCCUCAAAUUCAACUCUUUUUGGAAAAAUAAAUACUUAAAACUUUUAUGGCCAAUAUACACCUCAAAGGUCACUCUAUAUAAAUAAUGCCUCCACUUCUUGAGGGCGAAAAUCACCGUGGCAAAAUUAUGAGUCGGAUAAAUUUGCUCAUGAGGUUUCAAUUUCCUAGAGGCAUAAUCUAUUACCUUUUCUUUUUGCAUCAAUACACCUCCUAACCUUUCUUUCGAUGCAUCAAUAUAUAUUGUGAAACCAUCUUUCUCACUUGGCAAAAGCAAAAUCAAUCCACUAGUCAACUGCUUCUUCAAUUCAUGAAAAUUGAUCUCACACCCAAAUAAACUUGGUGUUUUUCUAGGUUAACUCAGACAAUGGCCUGGCAAUCUUGAAAAAAUCUGGGAUAAAUUGAUGGUAGUAACCUACUAAACCUAAGAAACUACAAAGCUCAAUGGAAUUUUCUGGUUGCUUCUACUUAGAUACCGCCUCCACCUUCGCUGCAUCCAAAGUUAUUCCAUCCUUAGAAAUUAUAUGCCCAAGGAAAGAUACCUUAUCCAACCAAAACUCGCAUUUGCUAAACUUGGCACAUAACUGAUGUUCUCUUAGGAUUUGCAAGCACUAUCCUCAAAUGGUAUUCAUGGUCUUCAUUUGUUUUCGAUUAUACCAAAGUAUCAUCAAUAAAGAUCACUACAAAAUAAUGAAGAUAAGGUUUAAAAAUCGGAUGCAUCAAAUCCAUAAAAGUUGCUAGAAUAUUAGUCAAUCCAAAAGGCAUCACUACAAAUUCAAAAUGCCCGUAUCUAGAAUUAAAACCAGUCUUGGGUAUAUCCUCUUCUUUAAUCUUUAGUUGAUAGUAUCCUUGUCUAAGAUCCAACUUAGAAAAUACCACCGCUCCUUAUAAUUGAUCAAACAAUUCAUCUAUGUGAGGCAAACGAUAUUUAUUCUUAAUAGUAAUAUCAUUCAACACUCGAUAAUCGAUGCACAGUCUCAAACUCUCAUCUUUCUUCUUAAUAAAUAAGACUAGAGUUUCCCAAGGCGAAUCACUCUCACGUAUAAAUCCUUGCUCUAUUAAAUAUUGUAAUUGUAACUUCAAUUCUUUCAACUCAACUGAUGCCAUCCUAUAAGGAGUUUUAGAAAUAGGUGCAAUCCCUGGUAGCAAGUCGAUCUUAAACUUUAUAUCUCUCUCAGGUGGUAACGAGACCAACUCCUUGGGAAAAAUGUCAGGAAAAUCUUUCACUCUUGGUACAUCUUCCAACUUCACUUGUUCCCCUGGGGUAUUAAUUAGGAAGGCUAGGUACCCUUGAACUCAUUUACUUAGCAAUUUCUUAACUCAAAUCCUUGAAAAUAGAGCUGACGAGGCUAACUUUCCUCUCACGUCCAACCUUAGUAUUGCUUCCCCCGGAAUGCAUAAUUCCACGAUUUUCAUCUUACAAUCUAAUUGAGCAUGAUAUUGAACUAACCAAUCCAUCUCAAAAAUGGCAUCAUAUCCCUUAAUCGAUAAACUUUUUAGCUUAGGCAACAACUUACGCUACCCAACCCAAAUCUUGCAAUUUCUUACACCAAGUUAGAAGUCAAGCAUUAAUCUCCCGUGGGUGUUCUAACUUUCAAAUCAUAAGGCAAUUUUGUGAUGGCCCCACCUCCCCCUAGGGCGUACCCCAGGGUUUAGCGGACCGCCUGCCCAGUUCUCGCCAGAACUCACUCACUCAUAACUCAAGAAAAAAAACAAAUAACGUACAUCCAGAGAAAAUAAAUAACACAUCCACUUCAACUUAAUAUAUACAUUGAUGCUCAAAUCCAGGUACGAAGCUUCUACAUACCAAAGUACUUCAAAGUGUUUACAUUUCGAGUACAAUCAACCCUAGUCGGGUACUAGCGUGAGUACAAUUACAAAAUUCAAAACAAUUAGACUACACUAGUCUGUGCAAGUCACAAACCUCACUCGUACCCCCUGUAAGGAAAACAAAUGGCAUGGAAUGAGCUAAAAGCCCAGUGAGGUUCCAAAUAGCAAAUUGGUCAUCAAAUAAAAUAAAAAUAGCAUGAUAGUGAAAUAGCGAGCAUGCCAAGUUUAUGAAAGUGAGCAAUAACACGUCUAAUAGCAAAUGUCAAAAUGAGUUUGUUUUCCAAAAAAAAAAAACAAUAACACUUCGAAUAACCAUCAAAGUAUAAGGAUACAGAUGGCUCUCAAGAGCCAAAUUUCCAUUGCAUCAUCAGGAGCUUGAUCACGUAAUAGUUGACACUCCGUCAACUUUCAAGUAAAGGAACCAAUCCAGCAGAGUACCACUUACACUACUCUCCGUCCACCAUUCAAACCCCCUACUGGAUCCAAAAUCCUCAAUAAACACUGGUGGUAAUACUCGAGUAUACCGAUUAGUCGAGGAGAUAUCGCACCACUCGACAAAACAAAAGACCCAGGGUUCGUUACCCAAUCGACCAAACUCUUGUUGGCUCGACUCGAGUAAUUCGCCAAGGAUUUCUGGAAUUUCAGGAAGUGCGCACCAUAUGCACAAAUAUAUCAAAUCCAUUGCAACAAUAAACAAGUAUAUCUCAUAUUAGAGCAAGUGCGAUAAAGUACACUCUUGCCCGAGCAAACAAAUGACAUGUCAUUUAAUCAUAUUGAUCACGUAUUAGAAACAAGUGUCCAGUCCAAUCAGUUAUUUGGAAGCACUCACCAAAAGUAGUGCCUCUAGUGAUCGUGCCUGGGUUGUACUCCGGGUUUGGAGUCCAAAUCUGCGAUAAAACUUUGUUUAAGAACUUUAAAAAUCGACUAAGGUUCGAAACGUAGACGUUUCGUUCAAUAAGAAUCAAGAAAUGGAAAUUCACUUGGAGAAUAUUCGUGAAACACUCGCUCGCUUUUCAAACUAUAUAACUUUGUAACAUUUAUACUUGGAAAUACCAUUUGAGUCGAAAGUACAUGGAAAACGUAUUCCUAGUAGUCAUGAUUGUAUUUCUCAAGGUUACAAGUUCGGCCAAAUCCUCACUAAUGUACCUCGAUAAAAGAAGAUGCAAAUAUCCUGGAUAGUUCAAAUGGUAAUCGCUCUUAACCCUUACUCAAGUUGCAAGUAUGUCUACCUAGCCCUUGAGCGUAAAUUUGGGCAGCACGCCCUUUGUACUUUCCUAUUUCCAGCUAUUUAUGGCUUCAUUCUUUUCCUCAAUCAAACCCAAAGUUACAGACAAAAUAAUCUCAUUUCAAUAGCCGUUCAAUAGGCUCAAGGUCAGACAAGUACAAAAUCAAGCUAACGACAUGUACGGAAAUGAAGUUUAGCAAAAGACAGAUUUGAUGUUGUUUUGCGUAACGGACACAACCGAAGCUAUGCUUAUCAAGAUUGGAGUGCAAUUUAUACCGUUUCGAAGCUAAGGCAGAGAGCUAUAACUUUGAUGAAGAUCACCUAGUCCAGUUCAUAGUGUAUCUAUGUCAAAAUUUUGAAUUACUAAACCAGAAGCGCACAAACAGGUCAGUUAAUUGCGCUAUGUUUAAACAACAAUAACUCAGGCUACCGAAGUCUAAACGAGGUGAUUCUAGGGGCGUUGGAAAGCUAAAACAUAGCACUACAACUUUUGUGUUUUGGCUAAAUGCUAAUUCAGUACACAUCAGGGUGAAAAGACACAGUUAGUGUUGUGAAAUAUCAAAACUAUCCGUUGGACUAAACCUAUGAGAGUCAGGGGUAUUUUUGUCUUUUCAUGGUCUACGUUGCUCUGAUUGAGCUGAAAUUUUGCAGAAAACUAUAAAAUAUCAUUCUCUACAACCUUUAUGUUUUAUGCUAAGCUUAAUUCAGCCUCUAACAUAAUAAACUGGAAAUGGCAAAACUGAAGCUACAAUUUCCAGAAAUCUGGAAUUUUGUUAUAUUCAAGCUAUAAUUCACAUUUUUACCUUAAAACUACUACUACUUUCUCCUUUACAAGAUAAUAUACCAUAUAUAUACAUCAUUUAACACCUAACCCACAAGAAAUAUAAGUGAAUCAAUCAAAACCCUAACUCAAAAUUCAUCACUCCAACCAUCAAAACUAGUUGAAACAAGCAUCACAAGCACAAUUCUAACGUUAAUACCCAACUUAAUCAUGAUUAAUGGAGAAAUAAAGGUUGAUCAGCCAUUAUACCUCAAGACAAGAACUUACAAGAAGGAUCAUCCACUUCUCCUUGAAAUUUGUUUUUCCUCAAGCUUCCCAUGUUUCUAAACUAGUGAUUAAUCGGUUUAGUUUUUCUUUUUCUCACUUAAAAAGGUUGGAUUCAAGGUUGGAAAUGGAAAACUCUCUUCACUCUCCUCCCUCUCCUUGCUCUCGGCCAAACCAGAAAAAAAUGAUGAAGAAUGAGCUCAAAUGAAAGAUAAGAAGGCAAGACAAAAGGGUUUGGUCAAAGGGCCAUUGAUGGCCAACAAGUGACACCACUAAAAUCCAUCCAAUUUUGUUUUCUUUUCCUUGCAUUUUGGGUCAAUAAUUUCGGCUAUAAGGGCUAAGGAUGAGGGAGAUAUUUUGCAACAAUAUCAAGGAUAUGUGGUGGUAGGAAAGUGGUAGUCAAGUGGUGUGUUCAAUCGGUAGUGAACAGUACCCGUCGUUUCGAGCCAUUUUUUCUUAAAUCGCGUAUACUAGGGUUUUAACUUAUAAUUCACUAACUUAUUAUUAUCACCUCUAAUUCCAUACUUAAUAUCAUCUAAAACUCACUUUUAAUCACCAAAUUUGAUCCACACUUCGUACCGGAUGAUCGCACUACGGAUAAGCGUAAAACCCUAAUUCGCGCUAACUUGAAAACGGAAAGUGAAACCCUACUUCCUAGAUUCAUUUGCACUUAUUGUGGGGUGAUUGGGUAUUUGGGUUAUUAUAAAAUAAUAAUUUCCAAAUAAAAAGGAAAUUUUAAAAUAUAUAUAUAAAGAAAUUUACGGGUCCUCACAAAUUUGGUAGGCUUUACAUCUACCGCACUCAUAAAAUCAGGUUUCACAAAUGAAUGAGUCACACUAGGGUCUAUUAAAACCUUAGCUAAGCGAUAAAAUAUAGGGAUCGUACCUUCUAUAACCUCAGUCGAGUUAGGAAUUUGUUGAUAAUCCAAGGCAUUAAUCCUAGCCGGCACUUUAGAUCUACCCCUUCCUGAACUUGUUGGCUUAGUAGCAAACUUAUCUGAUCGUUGGGCGUUACUUCCUUUUGAAGACAUGAGCGGGCAACUAGAAAUCUGAUGCUGUGCACUUCCACUAUGAAAAUACCUUUUUUCUUUCCUCCAGCAAUUGCUCUCAGCAUUACCCGACUUUCCACAAUAACCAUAGGGUGCAUGACAGGUUACUCCCUGGCCUCCUUGUGAGGUACACAUUCUAAUUCCACCGGUCCCUCUGCUAGCCUUAGGAGGUGGCAUGCUCUUAUUGGUUUGCCCUAAUAUGCCACUCGGUAUAUUCCUUUUUCUCACUUGAAAGGCUUUGACUUGAAGCCUUGUACUCUUAACCCUCUGAGCCUUUUCUAAUAUCUCGACGAAGAUAUCAAUUGAGCUACUAUUACAGCCUCCUAGAUCUCCACAUUUAACCCUUAUACAAAUUUUCUUACCUUUUUUUGCAUAGUCACGACCAAUUUUGGAGCAAAUUUUGAAAGAUUAAUAAUUUGAGUCUCGUACUUCGCCAUAUUUAAAUUGCCUUGCCGAAGUCUUAUAAAGUCAUCCUCUCUUUUUUCUUGAAUCAACGGAGAAAAAUACUUCUCGUUAAACUCUCUCACAAAAUUUGUUCAAGUCCAAGGGGUCUGAUUUCUCUCCCACUUAAUUCUCAUAACAUUCCACCAAGAUCGAGUCGCUCCCUCAAAUUGGAAAACGGUGAAGGACACUUGCUACUCUUCAGUGUAAUUUAGGGCAGCAAAGAUAUCGAUCAUCUUUUUGAGCCAACUCUCAGCUAUCUCAGGGUCAGGCCUUCCUGAGAACUUAGGUGGGAAAAUUUUUUGGAAUCGUUCUAAAGCUUUGUCCACUCCUUCCUCAAAACCCCCAGGUUGAAUCACAGGCUCUUGACCCUACCUAUCCACUAUCCUCUCUAAGAGGUCAGUCAUCUGGUUGAUGGCCAAAGGCACUUGUUCACCUACUUCGGUCCUUGGCCCACGAUUUUGACCAACUGCAGAUCCUUGGUUACCCUUUUGCUCUUAGGGUUGUUUACGUCUCAAACCACAACCUCGACCUCGACCAUUCAUGGUUUUAAUACAAAUCUAAACAAAAUUUAAAUACAUGUACAAGCUAUAACACCAAUUAAGAGUAAAAUAAACAUUGCAUUUAGGAUAAUAAGUCAUAGAUAUGUACAUUAGACCAAAAGAGUUCAUAAGAUUUUCCAAAUCAGGAAAAAUAAGCCAGAAUACACAAAAUACAAUAUCCAAACUCAUUAAGAGCACAAAAACAUCAAAAAAAAAGCCUAAUCUAACAACUAUCCCCUAUACACAAAAAGAAAGAACUUUCAAAAUGUGCUAUCCUAGUCCAUAAUAGAGCCAACAGACUCUCUCUCAUGAGUAGAACUAGGUGCAUCCCCUCUCGAGAAGCUCCGUCGCCUUGACCCUCCAUAGGUGCAUUAGCGCCAAUCACCCCCUAGAGUGGUGCUCCACGCUCAUCAAUGAUACCCCUAGCUCGGUCCUUGACCAUUCUGACCACCCUAGUGAGGCGGCCAUUAACUACCAACAGCUGCUCUCUAAAAGCAUUCGUUCGUUCCUGCUCCAUCAAUAUAUCCUCCCGAAGCUCCUGAAUCCUAUCAAUCAGCAUCUUCAUGAUGCCUUUCAUCCUCUGAAUCUUAGUCUGAGCCCUACGGUUGGCUCCAGCUAACCUCCUCUUCUCAUCAACUAUAGCUAGGACUACUUGAUCAGGAUACAAGUAGAUCCUCCAACAAUCACAGGGCCAAGUUCGACGCCUAGUCCCCAAUGUCGGAGAGGUCCCCCAGGUCUCUCUCGAUAAGUAAUGACUCAAUGAGGCUUCGCUGGAUCCUCAUUACCAUUAUUCCCUCCUUUCAUGUCCUACAUGACGACAGAAGAAGAAACUUAGACUUACUUAUCCAGUUUAACCCUAGCACUUAAAAAGUCAAUACUUGAACAAUUCACAACUUAAUAAGUCAUUCUAGCACUCCUAUUACUUCAUAUCUGCAGGAUUCCAUAUUUGGCGCAGAUUAAUUUGAAAGCUAACCUCUGAUACCA
rnacentral:lncRNA from 1 species